UACAGAGACUGCGAGCGUUAUUCGGAUUCACUGGGCGUAAAGGGUGCGCAGGCGGCCGUGUGUGUGAGGCGUGAAAGCCCGGGGCUUAACCCCGGAAUUGCACCUCAAACUACACGGCUAGAGCAUUGGAGAGGGUAGCAGAAUUCAUGGUGUAGCAGUGAAAUGCGUAGAUAUCGUAAGGAAGACCAGUGGCGAAGGCGGGUCUCUGGACAGUUCCUGACACUGAGACACGAAGGCCAGGGGAGCAAACGGG
rnacentral:rRNA from 1 species